GCUGACACAGCCCGGCCAAUUUCCAGAAGACCCUCCCUCCCAGACCCUCCCACCUCCUGGACAGCAUCCAUGUUGAAGGCAGCUUCAACAUGGAUGCUGUCCAGGAGGUGGGAGGGUCUAGGAGGGAGGGUCUGCUGGAGAUUGACCGGGAUGUGUCAG
rnacentral:miRNA from 1 species